GCCUGUGUGGUGUAGUGGUUUGAGUGUUGGCCUACAAAUCUAGGAGACCAGAGUUCAAAUCCCUGCUCAAACA